rnacentral:rRNA from 1 species
GACGAACGCUGGCGGCGUGCCUAAUACAUGCAAGUCGAACGCUGAAGCCUGGUGCUUGCACCGAGCGGAUGAGUUGCGAACGGGUGAGUAACGCGUAGGUAACCUGCCUGGUAGCGGGGGAUAACUAUUGGAAACGAUAGCUAAUAACGCAUCAUAGUAGAUGUUGCAUAACACUUGCUUAAAAGGUGCAAUUGCCUCACUACCAGCUGGACCUGCGGUGUAUUAGCUAGUUGGUGAGGUAACGGCUCACCAAGGCAACGAUACAUAGCCGACCUGGUAGGGUGAUCGGCCACACUGGGACUGAGACACGGCCCAGACCCCUACGGGAGGCAGCAGUAGGGAAUCGUCGGAAAUGGACGGAAGGCUGACCGAGCAACGCCGCGGGAGUGAAGAAGGGUUUCGGAUCGUAAAGCUCUGUUGUAAGAGAAGAACGAGUGGGAGAGUGGAAAGUUCACACUGUGACGGUAUCUUACCAGAAAGGGACGGCUAACUACGUG